AACCCAUCAAAGUAUGUAUAUGAAAUAUGUCGCAUUAUAUUACGAAGUAAUAUACUCGUGUACGUAUGUGAUGUAUAUAGUACAUGUUGACAUCCAAUUUUGACCUUCCGAUGCUCUCUUAGGCUACUAUUUUUGUCAAAAUUAUUUAACCUUUAAUAUUAAUAUUUUUGCGCAUUAUUUUGGUAUCAAAUAAUUUUCGAGAAGACACAUUCAUGAUUUAAAAAAUGUACAAAUUAUUUUAUUAUUUUUUAGUAUCAUUUUUUACAGUUUAUUAAUUCAAAUACGACAUUUUACAUAAUUUUAUUGAUAUUUAUUAAAUUAUUUUUUCACAUAAAUGUGCACACUCACAAUUCACA
rnacentral:lncRNA from 1 species